rnacentral:rRNA from 1 species
CCUACGGGGGGCUGCAGUGGGGAAUAUUGGACAAUGGGCGAAAGCCUAAUCCAGCCAUGCCGCGUGUGUGAAGAAGGCCUUCGGGUUGUAAAGCACUUUCAGUGGGGAAGAAAGCCUUGGGGCUAAUACCCUCGAGGAAGGACAUCACCCACAGAAGAAGCACCGGCUAACUCCGUGCCAGCAGCCGCGGUAAUACGGAGGGUGCGAGCGUUAAUCGGAAUUACUGGGCGUAAAGCGCGCGUAGGCGGUCUGAUAAGCCGGUUGUGAAAGCCCCGGGCUCAACCUGGGAACGGCAUCCGGAACUGUCAGGCUAGAGUGCAGGAGAGGAAGGUAGAAUUCCCGGUGUAGCGGUGAAAUGCGUAGAGAUCGGGAGGAAUACCAGUGGCGAAGGCGGCCUUCUGGACUGACACUGACGCUGAGGUGCGAAAGCGUGGGUAGCAAACAGGAUUAGAUACCCGGGUAGUC